rnacentral:rRNA from 1 species
CCUUGUACACACCGCCCGUCACACCACCCGAGUUGGGUGCACCCGAAGUCACUGGUCUAACUAGCAAUAGGGGAUAGUGCCGAAGGUAUGCCUGGUAAGGGGGGUG